rnacentral:rRNA from 1 species
AGUGAACGCUGGCGGUAGGCCUAACACAUGCAAGUCGAACGGCAGCACAGUAAGAGCUUGCUCUUACGGGUGGCGAGUGGCGGACGGGUGAGGAAUACAUCGGAAUCUACUUUUUCGUGGGGGAUAACGUAGGGAAACUUACGCUAAUACCGCAUACGACCUACGGGUGAAAGCAGGGGAUCUUCGGACCUUGCGCGAUUGAAUGAGCUGAUGUCGGAUUAGCUAGUUGGCGGGGUAAAGGCCCACCAAGGCGACGAUCCGUAGCUGGUCUGAGAGGAUGAACACCCCACUGGGAACGGGAAACGGGCCCGACUCCCAAGGGGGGGAGGCGGGGGGAAAUUUUGGAAAAGGGGGGAAAGCCGGACCAGCCACGCCGCGGGGGGGAAAAAAGGCUUUGGGGUUUAAAACCCUUUUUUUUGGGAAAAAAAAGCGGCAGGUUAAUUCCCCGCGGUUCUAACGGAACCAAAAAAAAAAGCACGGGUUAAUUUCUG